rnacentral:rRNA from 1 species
GGCCUAUUGAAUAUAAUUUUAGGUCGAUCUGCCCAAUGAUUUAAAAUUUAAUGGCUGCGGUAUUUUGACUGUACAAAGGUAGCAUAAUCAAUUGUUUUUUAAUUGGAAACUGGAAUGAAAGAAUUAAUGAGAUAUAUACUGUCUCAUAUAUAAUAAAUGAAUUUAAAUUUUUAGUUAAAAUGCUUAAAUUAUUUUAUGGGACGAUAAGACCCUAUAGAAUUUUAUAUUAAUAUAAAUAGUUAUGUUUAUAAAAUUUUUAUAUUAAUAUUUAGUUGGGAGGAUUAGUAAAUUUAAGAAACUUUACUUUAAAUUUAAACUUUGAUUUAAGAAUUUUUUUGAUCUUGUAUUAUAAAAAUAAGAGUAAAUUACCUUAGGGAUAACAGCGUAAUAUCUUUUUAAAGGUCAUAUUAAUAAAGAUGAUUGCGACCUCGAUGUUGAAUUAAGAUAAAUUUUAGAUGGAGAAGUCUAAAAAUUAAGUCUGUUCGACUUUUAGAAUCU